AGUAAAAUGGCCGAUCAAAAGCGAUAGAUUGUAGCUCUAUUUAUGGGAUUAUAUCUCUUUUACUA